rnacentral:sRNA from 1 species
UCCUAGCCCCGAUAGAAGUGGAAAUCCUUUUAUUUUUUUCUUUAAAAAAUAAAAGAUUGUAACGGAUAGCGGGAUUAGCU